rnacentral:rRNA from 1 species
UACGGGGGGAGCAAGCGUUGUUCGGAUUUACUGGGCGUAAAGGGCGCGUAGGCGGUCGUGACAAGUCACUUGUGAAAUCUCCGGGCUUAACUCGGAACGGUCAAGUGAUACUGUCGGACUAGAGUACAGAAGGGGCAACUGGAAUUCUCGGUGUAGCGGUGAAAUGCGUAGAUAUCGUAAGGAAGACCAGUGGCGAAGGCGGAUCUCUGGACAGUUACUGACACUGAGGCAUGAAAGCGUGGGGAGCAAACCGG